rnacentral:lncRNA from 1 species
CGAUUUUAAUACAGCGUUUAUUAGUUUAGAAGCCCUUCAGCCACUGACAGGUGUACUCGGCCUCACCAGCAGUGUUCCGAUCUUGCUGUCGAGGUGGGGGACCCGCGGGGUAGAGAUGACUCCCCCAGCAGGCGCUGCCGCCCCGCGGGACCCCACCCUUCAGACAGCGCGGCUGCCGCACCCUCCCCUCGCUGCUCCCGACCUCGCCUCUUGAAGCUGCGCCCAGGUCUUGGACGUGGGCAAACACGCAGCCCUACCCGCACGUUUCCCAGCCCCGACAGGCCUCUCCACGAGGAACGUUGACGGAACGGCCACCUGUCUUGUGGCAGCAGCCUGCGAGCCAGACGCGCGGUUCUGCCAGGGUUAGCACUGCAGUCGUACGGCCCCAAGAAAGGGACAGCUUUUUAAGAGCCAAAACUGCCCAGAAGUCACCAGGACCCUCUGGUCACCACUCACUGUGCCCCAGCUUCACCAGCCGGGAGGAACACCGGCCAGCAGGGGCUGUGGGGCACUGAGACCUCAUCUGAGCAGAGUGGAAAGCCGUCUCAAGUGAGCCCCGCUCCACAGGGCCCAGCGCAGGGUAACCCAGCCCUUCCGCACCAGCAGGCCCCGUCCUGGUGGGGGCAGAAGCAGCACCUGGCCGAGCCGCCGCCGCCAGCACUCUGUCCUCCCCUCCUCUCUGCUCCCCUCCCCUCCCCGGCUGCCUAGCGCUCAUAAAGUUUAUUGCUGUUCCCUGCGGCUGCCGGGGAACAAGACAGCAAGCAUACGGAUUUCUGCCUGGGAAGGAUUUAUUCAAGUAC